rnacentral:rRNA from 1 species
UACGUAGGGUGCGAGCGUUGUCCGGAAUUCUGGGCGUAAAGAGCUCGUAGGUGGUUUGUCGCGUUGUCCGUGAAAACUCACAACUCAAUUGUGGGCGUGCGGGCGAUACGGGCAGACUGGAGUACUGCAGGGGAGACUGGAAUUCCUGGUGUAGCGGUGGAAUGCGCAGAUAUCAGGAGGAACACCGGUGGCGAAGGCGGGUCUCUGGGCAGUAACUGACGCUGAGGAGCGAAAGCGUGGGGGAGCGAACAGG